GUAGCGGCGAGCGAAGCGGGAACAGACCAAGAUGAAAAUCUCCAUAGGAGAAUUGUAGUCUGGUUUACCUUGAGUGUUCAGUGAAUGUAAGUCGCAUGGAAUUGCGUACCGUGGAGGGUGAGAGUCCCGUCCAGCAUUCACAGGAAUUUCUCGUACGAGGUAAAUUCAACCGAGUCGGGUAGCUUGAGAUCGCUGCUCUAAAAGGUGGUAAACUUCAUCUAAGUCUAAAUACUGGUGGGAGACCGAUAGCGAACAAGUACCGUGAGGGAAAGAUGGAAAGCACUUUGAAAAGAGGGUGAAAAGCACCUGAAACCGUCAUGGGGGAAGCGGAUUGCAUCAGUGUUGGUCAGUUGCCUGUUCAGAUACUUUCGGGUAUUGUACUCAGCGCUGGCUGUGUCGGCAUGGCUGCUGAACCUUGGAAUUUGCAGGGUUUGGUGGUGAGGGCUCCCUUCGGGUGAGGAUGUCGACAAAAGGAUGCGAACCGACCCGUCUUGAAACACGGACCAAGGAGUCUAGCACUACUGCGAGUCGAAGGGUGAGCAAACCCAGAGGCGCAGUGAAAGCAAACAUUUGGAAAUCGUACAGAUUAGGGAGGUGUUGCGACGUUGUCAAAGCAUCCUACCCAGAGCAAUAGUGCUGGGACCCGAAAGAUGGUGAACUAUGCCGGAGCAGGGCGAAGCCAGAGGAAACUCUGGUGGAGGCUCGAAGCGAUGCUGACGUGCAAAUCGCUCGUCGGACUUGGGUAUAGGGGCGAAAGACUAAUCGAACCAUCUAGUAGCUGGUUCCCUCCGAAGUUUCUCUCAGGAUAGCGGGCAGACUGUUAUUGUUUUGUGUGGUAAAGCGAAUGAUUAGCGUAUUUGGGGGAGCAAUUCCUUCGGUCGAUUCUCAAACUUUAAAUACGCAAGAAAGGGUUGGUUGCUUGAGUGAACCACUCUCUAUUGAAAAUGUCUGCCCUGUGGGCCACUUUUGGUAAGCAGAACUGGCGAUAUGGGAUGAACCAUAAGUUUGGUUAAGGCGUCAAAUUGCCCGCUUAGAGAUCCCACAAAAGGUGUUGGUUCAUCCAGACAGCAGGACGGUGGCCAUGGAAGUCGGAAUCNGCUAAGGAGUGUGUACANUCACCUNCCGANGACUAGCCUGAAAUGGAUGACGCUUAAGCGGGCAGCCGACACCAGACCGUUUUCGUAAGAAACGGCGAAAAUGAGUAGGAGGGCGUGGCGGUUUUGUUGGGAAGGCUGAGACGCAAGUCUGGUUGGAACAGCCGCUAGUGCAGAUCUUGGUGGUAGUAGCAAAUAUUCAAGCGAGAUCCUUGAAGGGCGAAGCGAGGAAGGGUUCCACGCGAACAUUGAUUGGGCGUGGGUGAGUCGUUCCUAAGCCGGGUGGUAAUCGUUCUAACGAUCGGCGAAAGGGAAGCGGGUUAAAAUUCCUGCACACGGAUGUGGAAGCGGUGACGCAAAUUGACAUGGAGACGUUGGCGGUGGCGCUAGGCAGAGUUUUCUUUUCUGUUUGACCUGUGAGUGCGUACUGUGGAAUCCGAUUAUCGGGAGAAACAGGCGCCGAUGGGCAGAGCGUCGGGGCAUCCCCGGCGUCUAGCACGCCACCGACAGCCCUUGAAAAUCUAUGUGCAAUAUAAUUUCACGCCGUGGCGUACCGAUAACCGCAUCAGGUCCUCAAGGUGAACAGCCUCUGCUCAAUAUGAACAAUGCAGGUAAGGGAAGUCGGCAAAAUAGACCCGUAACUUUGGGAAAAGGGUUGGCUCUAGUGGAGUGGAGGAUUUCAAGGGAUGUCAUAGCUUUGGCGCUUAGCUGGACUUUGCGGGCUAAGGUGGGCAACCAUUCUUGGCCUGCUCGGAUCGGCUUCGCGUCUGGAGUUGUGGGNUCCGCCUNCAGCAUACUCCAAACUAGAACUGCAACGGGCAAAGGGAAUCNNNNNNNNNNNNNNNNNNNNNNNNNNNNNNNNNNNNNNNNNNNNNNNNNNNNNNNNNNNNNNNNNNNNNNNNNNNNNNNNNNNNNNNNNNNNNNNNNNNNNNNNNNNCGGGUNAACAGCGGGANUNANUAUGACUCUCUUAAGGUAGCCAAAUGCCUCGUCAUCUAAUUAGUGACGCGCAUGAAUGGAUUAACGAGAUUCCUACUGUCCCUAUCUGCUUCUAGCGAAACCNCAGCCGAGGGAACGGGCUCGGCGAAAUCGGCGGGGAAANAANACCCUGUUGAGCUUGACUCUAUUCUAAUUUUGUGACGCAAGUUAGGAGGUGUAGCAUAGGUGGGAGCUUUCGGGCGACAAUGAAAUACCACUACUCUUAAUCUUGUUUUACUUACGGCGUCAGACUGCACGACCAAUCUGGUCUAUUUUGGCAUCAACUUGGAAACCCCUUCUCUGGGGUCUGAGGAGCAGCGCGCCAGACACAUUUAGGAGGGGAGUUUGGCUGGGGCGGCACAUCUUCUACAAGACAACGAAGGUGUCCAAAGAUGAGCUCAGUGAGAACAGAAAUCUCACGUAGCGCAAAAGGGUAAAAGCUUGUUUGAUUUUGAUUUUCAGUGUGAGUUAAAAACACGAAAGUGUGGCCUAUC
rnacentral:rRNA from 1 species